AGGAUAUUGUUGUCAGCGCGCAAUUCCACUGGACUGGCAACGCUUAUCCAUAUACUACCACACGAAUAAACAGCACUACCUUCGAUAGUAGGUAGACACAGCGAACUGUCAGGGAGAUGCGGGAAGAUGAUAAGGGAUAAUUGAUGAAAUGUUAUUGCUAUUGCGGCCUAAACGAACACACUAUUUUGUUAAAAUUUGUUUCUCUAAAAACUACAUGAAAUGUUAGUGAAUUCUUAAUCUAGUGUUAGUCAAAGUUAAAACCUAAAUACCUAUCAUUCGUUAGUACGCUUAACCUACACGAACCACUCCCGAUUGAUUACGGAUUAAAUUGAUCCCCAAUUACACGAAUAAUUAGUUGGUAUCCCAUGCAACAUUUACCGUCAGAGCAUCAAUUGCCGUCUGACUCCGAGCGAAUAGUAAACGUGAGUAGAAGUCUUGUAUACUUAUGUAAACAUGGAAAAAUUCAGUUAAAUCGUAUAUUCUAUUUACCCAGGAAUUUUAUAAUCCACCUUGGAUUCGAAUAAACGGAUUAUAAAAACGGAAUCUGCUCUUUGUUGUAUGGUGAGUCAA